rnacentral:rRNA from 1 species
UACGUAGGGUGCAAGCGUUAAUCGGAAUUACUGGGCGUAAAGCGUACGCAGGCGGCUUUGCAAGACAGAUGUGAAAUCCCCGGGCCUAACCUGGGAACUGCAUUUGUGACUGCAUGGCUAGAGUCUGUCAGAGGGGGGUGGAAUUCCACGUGUAGCAGUGAAAUGCGUAGAGAUGUGGAGGAACACCGAUGGCGAAGGCAGCCUCCUGGGCCAGCACUGACGCUCAUGCACGAAAGCGUGGGGAGCAAACAGG